UUGCCCUAGUAACGGCGAGUGAAGCGGCAACAGCUCAAAUUUGAAAUCUGGCCUUCGGGUCCGAGUUGUAAUUUGUAGAGGAUGCUUUUGGUGAGGUGCCUUCCGAGUUCCCUGGAACGGGACGCCAUAGAGGGUGAGAGCCCCGUCUGGUUGGACACCGAUCCUCUGUAAAGCUCCUUCGACGAGUCGAGUAGUUUGGGAAUGCUGCUCUAAAUGGGAGGUAUAUGUCUUCUAAAGCUAAAUAUUGGCCAGAGACCGAUAGCGCACAAGUAGAGUGAUCGAAAGAUGAAAAGCACUUUGAAAAGAGAGUUAAAAAGUACGUGAAAUUGUUGAAAGGGAAGCGCUCAUGACCAGACUUGGGCUUGGUUGAUCAUCCAGGGUUCUCCCUGGUGCACUCUUCCAGUUCAGGCCAGCAUCAGUUCGCUGUGGGGGAUAAAGGCUUUGGGAAUGUGGCUCCCUCGGGAGUGUUAUAGCCCAUUGUGUAAUACCCUGUGGUGGACUGAGGUUCGCGCAUUCGCAAGGAUGCUGGCGUAAUGGUCAUCAGCGACCCGUCUUGAAACACGGACCAAGGAGUCGUCUUCGUAUGCGAGUGUUCGGGUGUUAAACCCCUACGCGUAAUGAAAGUGAACGCAGGUGAGAGCUUCGGCGCAUCAUCGACCGAUCCUGAUGUUCUCGGAUGGAUUUGAGUAAGAGCAUACGGGGCCGGACCCGAAAGAAGGUGAACUAUGCCUGUAUAGGGUGAAGCCAGAGGAAACUCUGGUGGAGGCUCGCAGCGGUUCUGACGUGCAAAUCGAUCGUCAAAUAUGGGCAUGGGGGCGAAAGACUAAUCG
rnacentral:rRNA from 1 species